rnacentral:sRNA from 6 species
ACGUGCACGCUAUGCGUCCUGCGCGCCUUCCACGCCCGCCUGACGACUGCUCGCCACGUUUCGGUAUCU